GACGAACGCUGGCGGCGUGCUUAACACAUGCAAGUCGAACGGGAUUUAGUAAACAGAAGCCUCGGUGGAAGAUUACUAAUGAGAGUGGCGAACGGGUGAGUAACGCGUGAGCAACCUGCCUAUGACAGUGGGAUAGCCUCGGGAAACCGGGAUUAAUACCGCAUAAAAUCGUAGAAACACAUGUUUUAACGGUCAAAGAUUUAUCGGUCAUAGAUGGGCUCGCGUCUGAUUAGCUAGUUGGUGAGAUAACAGCCCACCAAGGCGACGAUCAGUAGCCGGUCUGAGAGGAUGAACGGCCACAUUGGAACUGAGACACGGUCCAAACUCCUACGGGAGGCAGCAGUGGGGAAUAUUGCACAAUGGGGGAAACCCUGAUGCAGCGACGCCGCGUGAACGAAGAAGGUAUUCGUAUCGUAAAGUUCUGUCCUAUGGGAAGAUAAUGACAGUACCAUAGAAGAAAGCUCCGGCUAAAUACGUA
rnacentral:rRNA from 1 species